AAUGGAUAAUAUCAUACCAUUGUGGAGGUUUGUGGUUUCUAGCGUAUAUUUCAUAUAUUAAUAUUUGUGAUCCAUGAUAUAAUUAGAUGGCUCAUAACUGUAGAUGUGAUAUACAAGAUUAAGCAGUUAAACUUCUUAAACAUCUGUUUCUUUGUGGUUUGGUGGUUUCUUAGUUAUAACGAUACUGCACCUCGCUUUGUGGCAGGCUCGUGCCCGAUGCAGGGUGUGUGCCUUUGUUUUAUAACUGUGUAGGCUGUCAUGGAGGAGGCUUUCAAGUCUCCAUAACAUCUCUUCUCCAGAAGAAGCAAUCCUCCUUGGCCAGUUUGACAAAGCUGAAAUGUCGAGGAAGAUGACCUGAGACAUGAAUGGUUAGCAUAAUGUAAUCCUUUUCGUGGAAUUGGACAUAAAGCUGGAGUCUCAACCAUGAGCUGGACACAAUUGUGAACAGCAAGAUGAGCUGUUGAUGCUUUUGUGGACGUUGAUGAUGAAGUUAGAGACUAAUUCAGUCAGGUGACAUGCAGCUAGAGGUUGCGAGAGGAGCCGAGCUUGCUCGAUGUUUGUAGCCAGCAACUUUAGGGUUGUCGACUUUUUUCUUUACUCAAGUUGUUACAUGGUCGUAGUAUUGAUAACCUAUAGUUAUGUCUCUGUUAAGUUGGGUUUUGCCUUUAUAUCCGAUUAUUAGGGUUAAAUAAAUUUUAAAAUCUAACUCGGA